UGGGGAAUAUUGCACAAUGGGCGCAAGCCUGAUGCAGCCAUGCCGCGUGUGUGAAGAAGGCCUUCGGGUUGUAAAGCACUUUCAGCGGGGAGGAAGGCGAUAAGGGUAAUAACCUUGUCGAUUGACGUUACCCGCAGAAGAAGCACCGGCUAACUCCGGGCCAGCAGCCGCGGUAAUACGGAGGGUGCAAGCGUUAAUCGGAAUUACUGGGCGUAAAGCGCACGCAGGCGGUCUGUCAAGUCGGAUGUGAAAUCCCCGAGCUCAACCUGGGAACUGCAUUCGAAACUGGCAGGCUAGAGUCUUGUAGAGGGGGGUAGAAUUCCAGGUGUAGCGGUGAAAUGCGUAGAGCUCUGGAGGAAUACCGGUGGCGAAGGCGGCCCCCUGGACAAAGACUGACGCUGAGGUGCGAAAGCGUGGGGAGCAAACAGG
rnacentral:rRNA from 1 species